rnacentral:rRNA from 1 species
UACGGAGGGUGCGAGCGUUGUCCGGAAUCAUUGGGCGUAAAGGGCGCGUAGGUGGCCCGGUCAGUUCGUGGUGAAAGCGCGGGGCUCAACCCUGCGUCGGCCAUGAAUACUGCCGCGGCUGGAGCACUGUAGAGGCAGGCGGAAUUCCGGGUGUAGCGGUGGAAUGCGUAGAGAUCCGGAAGAACACCGGUGGCGACGGCGGCCUGCUGGGCAGUUGCUGACACUGAGGCGCGACAGCGUGGGGAGCAAACAGG